UUGCGUUGCUUGCGAAUGUAACGUUGCUGAUUAUGAGGUCGCAACAACGCAAGACGACAAACCGCCCAUAUUGCGAUCUCUCAGCUGAGUUUUAUUUGCGGAGUUCUC
rnacentral:lncRNA from 1 species